rnacentral:rRNA from 1 species
GACGAACGCUGGCGGCGUGCUUAACACAUGCAAGUCGAACGGAAAGGCCCCUUUGGGGGUACUCGAGUGGCGCACGGGUGAGUAACACGUGAGUAACCUGCCCUUGACUUCGGGAUAACUUCAGGAAACUGGGGCUAAUACCGGAUAGGAAUCCUUGCUGCAUGGUGGGGGUUGGAAAGCUUCGGCGGUUUUGGAUGGACUCGCGGCUUAUCAGCUUGUUGGUGGGGUAGUGGCUUACCAAGGCUUUGACGGGUAGCCGGCCUGAGAGGGCGACCGGCCACAUUGGGACUGAGAGACGGCCCAGACUCCUACGGGAGGCAGCAGUGGGGAAGAUUGCACAAUGGGCGGAAGCCUGAUGCAGCAACGCCGCGUGCGGGAUGACGGCCUUCGGGUUGUAAACCGCUUUCAGCAGGGGCGAAGCUUGUGGUGACGGUACCUGCAGAAGAAGCACCGGCUAACUACGUG